rnacentral:rRNA from 1 species
GAGUUUGAUCCUGGCUCAGGACGAACGCUGGCGGCGUGCCUAACACAUGCAAGUCGAACGGCAGCACGGGAGCUUGCUCCUGGUGGCGAGUGGCGAACGGGUGAGUAAUGCAUCGGGACGUAUCCUGGAGUGGGGGAUAACGUAGCGAAAGUUACGCUAAUACCGCAUAUUCUGUGAGCAGGAAAGCGGGGGACCUUCGGGCCUCGCGCUCUUGGAGCGGCCGAUGUCGGAUUAGCUAGUUGGUGAGGUAAAGGCUCACCAAGGCGACGAUCCGUAGCAGGUCUGAGAGGAUGAUCUGCCACACUGGAACUGAGACACGGUCCAGACUCCUACGGGAGGCAGCAGUGGGGAAUUUUUGGACAAUGGGGGCAACCCUGAUCCAGCCAUGCCGCGUGAGU